CGAUAGUGAACAAGUACCGUGAGGGAAAGGUGAAAAGUACCCCUGUUAGGGGAGUGAAAAGAACCUGAAACCGUAAGCUUACAAGCAGUCGAAGGGCUAAUGGCGGGUUGGUGCUAUAGCGAAAGCUUGUGCGCACCGCUAUGCCUGACGGCGUGCCUCUUGGAGAAUGAGUCUGCGAGUUAAUCUUUGUGGCAAGGUUAAGGGAGUGACACCCGAAGCCGCAGCGAAAGCGAGUCUGAAUAGGGCGUGCAGUCGCAAGGAUUAGACACGAAACCAAGUGAGCUAACCAUGGCCAGGUUGAAGCGAGUUUAACCGCUCGUGGAGGACCGAACCCACUAAUAUUGCAAAAUUAGGGGAUGAGCUGUGGUUAGAGGUGAUAUGCCAAACGAACUUGGAGAUAGCUUGUUCUCCCCGAAAUAGCUUUAGGGCUAGCGUUAUGUGUUUAGUAACGGAGGUAGAGCACUGAAUGGGCUAGGGGGCUUAUUGCUUACCGAACCUAAUCAAACUCCGAAUGCCGUUACUCCAAGCAUAGCAGUCGGACUCCGGGAGAUGAGUUUCGGGGUCGAAAGGGAAACAGCCCAGACCAUCGGCUAAGGUCCCCAAAUUUAAGCUAAGUGGGAAACGAGGUGAGGUUACUGAAACAACCAGGAGGUUGGCUUAGAAGCAGCCAUCCUUUAAAAAGUGCGUAACAGCUUACUGGUCGAGUGAUCUUGCGCGGAAAAUUUAACGGGGCUAAGCUUAAUACCGAAGCCAUGGAAACGUGCGGAAGCACGUUUGGUAGGGGAGCGUUCUGUCAGCUGGGAAGGUCGACCGUAAGGACGGCUGGAGCGGGCAGAAGUGAGAAUGCAGACAUGAGUAGCGUAAAACACGUGAGAACCGUGUUCGCCGUAUAUCUAAGGUUUCCGACGCCAGGUCAAUCCGCGUCGGGUUAGUCAGGGCCUUAGCUGAGGCCGAAAGGCGUAAGCGAUGGAUAUCCGGUCAACAUUCCGGAACCACUUAAGAUGAGUGAUGGAGGGACGCAACGAGGUAGGCCAGCCUGUGAUUGGUUGAACAGGUGUGCCUUAUGUCAGCCGUUGAGGUUUGUAGGCAAAUCCGCAGACCGAGGUGAGAUAAGGCAGCGAGCCCCUGAGGCGUAAGUGAGUUGAGCCUUGUUGCCAAGAAAAGCUUCUAAACGUUGAUUCUUAAGUGCCUGUACCGCAAACCGACACAGGUAGAUGGGUAGAAUAUACCAAGGCGAACGGGAGAACCUUCGUUAAGGAACUAGGCAAUUUGGCCUCGUAACUUCGGGAUAAGAGGUGUCUGCUGGCGUGAGUGCAUAAUGAGCGCUGGAAGAUCGCAGUGAAAUGGUUCUAGGGACUGGUUAACAAAACCACAGGUCUCUGCAAAGCCGUAAGGCGAUGUAUAGGGGCUGACACCUGCCCAGUGCCGGAAGGUUAAAGGGAGAGGUUAGUUCCCCUUCGGGGGAGCGAAGCUUUGAACUGAAGCCCCGGUGAACGGCGGCCGUAACUAUAACGGUCCUAAGGUAGCGAAAUUCCUUGUCGGGUAAGUUCCGACCCGCACGAAAGGUGUAACAACUAGAACAGUGUCUCGACGAAGGACCCGGCGAAAUUGAAAUGGCUGUGAAGAUGCGGCCUACCCGCAGUAGGACAAAAAGACCCCGUGGAGCUUUACUGCAACUUGGUAUUGAGUUUGGAUUUCAUUUGUGUAGGAUAGGUGGGAGGCUAUGAAGCUAGGGCGCCAGCCUUGGUGGAGCCGCCGGUGAAAUACCACCCUGAUGAACUCUAGACCCUAACCUUUAUCCGUGAUCCGGAUAAGGGACCGUGCCAGGUGGGCAGUUUGACUGGGGCGGUCGCCUCCUAAAGAGUAACGGAGGCGCCCAAAGGUUCCCUCAGGCUGAAUGGAAACCAGCCAGAGAGUGUAAAGGCAUAAGGGAGCUUGACUGCAAGGCCAACGCGCCGAGCAGAGACGAAAGUCGGGCUUAGUGAUCCCACGGUUCCGUGUGGAAGGGCCGUGGCUCAUCGGAUAAAAGCUACCCCGGGGAUAACAGGCUAGUCAGGUCCAAGAGUCCAUAUCGACGACCUGGCUCGGCACCUCGAUGUCGGCUCAUCGCAUCCUGGG
rnacentral:rRNA from 1 species